GUUUGACUUUGGAAUUUUCAAAAUGGCCGCCGUUACCAUGGAAACAGCUAAAAUAUCAAAAAUUCUAACUCUUUCGUUAUAACAUCCAACUGGAUGAAACUUUAUGAAAAUGUUCUCCAGUAUGCCAAGAUGUCAAGACAAUAUAUGGAUAGUUCAAAAUGGCCGCCGUUGUCAUGGAAACUAGGGCCAAGUUUUGCAUUGACCCUAUGGAAAAAUGCAUAAAAUCAGCAUUUUCUCAGAGAGUAGUGCACCAAAGUCAAUGAAACUGUAUUGAUAUAUAACAUGACAUGUGGCAAUGAGAUGUACGCUUUUAGAAUUUUGGAAUUAUCUACUGUAACCAUGGUUGCAGCACAAAUGUUCAAAAUUUUCAAAAAAAAUUAAGUGCUGCAAACUGGAUGAAACUUUACAGGAAUAGUGACUGACAUGUGCGGAGUUGCAUUUUGAAGUUGGAAUUUCCAAAAUGGCCGCCGUAACCAUCGAAACAGCAAAAUUGUCCAAAAUUUCAAAAUGCUUCAAACUUAAUGAAAUUUUACAAAAAUGAUGACUUGCAUGUGUAGAUGCACUCUUUGACUUUGAAAUUUUCAAAAUGGCUGCCGCUCGCCUGGCAAUGGGGGGACGAGGGUGCCAUCCGUUAUUGCUAGCAAUUACAAAUCUAGUUAUAUUUAUUCUUCCACACUUUUUUGUCCAUUCUAUUUCUCGGAAUUGGCUUGAACAAUAUUGAUGGAACUAUACCAUAAUGUAGACCACCACAUUCUAUAGUGCAGUGGGGUAUGGCACCAUCAAGAUGGCUGCCGUUGCCAUGGAAAUGAAACAAAUGUAAAAAAAUUCUGUUUUUUGUUUUGGUGAACUGUUUGAAUAUGCUUAAACUCAGAAUCAUCAUAUUUUAAUACAAUGAAGGUGCCCACUAUAUACAGGUGUUGGAUGAUUUUGGCACUCAUUGGACCUACUAUGUUGCCAUGGAAAACUAAACCAAAAAUUUCAAAAAUAUCAAAAUGCUCCAAUCUUUAUGAAACUUCACAGUUACGAUGAGCAACAUUGGAAGAUGUGGAAUUUGGCGUUGGAAUUUCCAAAAUAUCUGUAGAUACCAUGGAAACAAUGCAAAAAGGUCAAAACUUUGAAUUUUCACAGAACAUUCCAGAACAUCAAUGUUAAAUGUAUUCUAGAGACAUUAAAUGGUAUAUGAUGGUAUAUAUGAUAAUGGAGGGAAAAAAUUGCAGCGGGGGUUUCACUUUGGAAUAUUCAAAAUGGCCGCCGUUACCAUGGGAACAGCAAAAAUUUCAAAAAUUUCAAAGUUUUCCAAACUUAAUGAAACUUUACAAAAUUGACAAUUGACAUGAGUAGAUGCACUCUAUGAUUUUGGAAUUUUCAAAAUGGCUGCCGCUCGCCUGGCAAUGGGGGAAGGGUGCCAUCCGCUAUUGCUUGCAAUGGCAAAUCUAGUUAUGGCACCCUCAACGGAGUUGGGGUGACAUAUUGUUAUUCUACGUUUCUUUUUAUUCUUUUUUUUAUUAUUAUUUUUCUUCCAUUAUUUUUGUCCGGAGCCGUUCUCAGAAUAGAAUGGACCAAAGUCGAUGGAACUAUGGUAUAAUGUUGACCACCAUGCGAAGUUGUCCUCGACUGACUUGGAAUGGUCAAGAUGGCCACCGUUACCAUGGAAACAGCAAAAAUGCGAAAAAAAUCAAAGUGUUCCAAAGUGGAAGAAACUUCACAGGAAUGGUAACUGGCAUGUGCUCAUUUACAGUUUGACUUCGGAAUUUUCAAAAUGGCCGCCGUUACCAUGGAAACUGCAAAAAUGUCAAAAAUUUCAAAAAGCUCCAAAAUUGAUGAAACUUUCAAAAAAAUGUUAAUUUGCAAGUGAAGAUGCACUCUUUGACUGAGGAAUUUUCAAAAUGGCUGCCGUUACCCUGGCAAUGGGGGAAGGGUGCCAUCCGUUAUUGCUAGCAAUUACAAAUCUAGUUAUGGCACCCUCAACGGAGUUGGGGUGACAUAUUGUUAUUCUACGUUUCUUUUUUUUCUUAUUAUUUUUAUUUUUCUUCCACACAUUUUGUCCGCGCGAGUUCUCAGAAUUGAACCUACCAAUGUUUAUGGAACUCAACUAUAAUGAAGAACCCCACUUGAAGUUGUGCACCUUGCUAUGGAAUGGUAAAAGAUGGCCGCCGUUUCCAUGGAAACAGCACAAAUGCGAAAAAAAUCAAAGUGGUCCAAACUGGAAGAAACUCCACAGGAAUGUUAACUGGCAUGUGCUGAUUUCCAGUUUGACUUUGGAAUUUUCAAAAUGGCUGCCGUUACCAUGGAAACAGCUAAAAUAUCAAAAAUUCUAACUCUUUCGUUAUAACAUCCAACUGGAUGAAACUUUAUGAAAAUGUUCUCCAGUAUGCCAAGAUGUCAAGACAAUAUUUGGAUAGUUCAAAAUGGCCGCCGUUGUCAUGGAAACUGGGGCCAAGUUUUGCAUUGACCCUAUGGAAAAAUGCAUAAAAUCAGCAUUUUCUCAGAGAGUAGUGCACCAAAGUUAAUGAAAAUGUAUUGAUAUAUAACAUGACAUGUGGCAAAGAGAUGUACGCUUUUAGAAUUUUGGAAUUAUCUACUGUAACCAUGGUUGCAGCACAAAUGUUCAAAAUUUCCAAAAAAAUUAAAAUGCUGCAAACUGGAUGAAACUUUACAGGAAUAGUAACUGACAUGUGCGGAGUUGCAUUUUGAAGUUGGAAUUUCCAAAAUGGCUGCCGUUACCAUGGAAACAGCAAAAUUGUCCAAAAUUUCAAAAUGCUCCAAACUUAAUGAAACUUUACAAAAAUGAUGACUUGCAGGUGUAGAUGCACUCUUUGACUUUGAAAUUUUCAAAAUGGCUGCCGCUCGCCUGGCAAUGGGGGACGAGGGUGCCAUCCGUUAUUGCUAGCAAUUACAAAUCUAGUUAUUAUUUUUAUUCUUCCACACAUUUUGUCCAUGCUAUUUCUCUGAAUUGGUCAGACCCAUGUUGAUGGAACUAUACCAAAAUAUGAACCGCCAUGUGAAGUAGUGCAAGAGACAUUGGAAUGGUAAAAAAUGGCCGCCGUUACCAUGGAAACUGCAAAAAUGUAAAAAAAAAUCAAAAUUCUAAAUCUUUCGUUAUAAGAGUCAACCUAAUGAAAGUUUAUGUAAAUGUUGGCAGUGGUGCCCUGAGGUACCAACAGUACUCGGAAUUUUCAAAAUGGCUGCCAUUGCCAUGGAAACUUGAGAAAAGUUUAACAUUGAUCCUAUGGGGAAAAACAUCAAAGCAGCAUAUUUUUAAGGAAUAUAAGAUCAAAGUGGAACAAAUUUCAUGUAUAUAUAUAAC
rnacentral:lncRNA from 1 species